AAGAUUUCAUACAUUCAGCGGUUCUACCCGUGUCCUCCUUAAAUACAUACUUCACCCCAAGACUUGCCUUGUACAUUACAGUAAAGAAAUAGCAUUGUUACCAUUCUGUUCUGCACAGAAGGCCAAACUAAGACUGGAAACCAAGAUGUUCAGUCUCUGUGGGUUCCCUUGUUGCUCCUGUUAUCCAUUGUUAUCCAGACAGGGUCAGUUCAAGGGUCAAGCUAGAAAGUCAAUAUAUAUACAUAAGGUUCAGGGUCAGGUCUAUCAAGGGUCAAAUACAGCCCAAUAACCACAAAGCAGAAUUGCAGUGAUUAGUCAGGGCCAAGGCCAAGCCAAGAAGUCUACCUAUGGGUCAGAGCCUGGAUAAACAAGGUACACAGCCAAACACAAGCAUAGCUGUAGCAGAGCUGAAAAACAGACACUCUGACAGCAGAGCUCAGACAGGGAGUGAAUGCCCAGGCCUGAGUUCAUAUGGGCUCCUGGGCCUGCAAGCAGGGUCUGUGGGGCUGAGCUCUCAGUUGGGGACUUUAAGGACUUUAAGAGAUGGCAACUUUAGACCCUGCACUUUAAAUUAA
rnacentral:lncRNA from 1 species